rnacentral:rRNA from 1 species
AGUGGGGAUAAUUUUUCCCAAGGGCCCAAACCGGACCCAACCAAACGGGGGGGGGGAAGAAGGCCUUGGGGUUUUAAACCCUCUUCAGCGGGGAGGAAGGGAGUAAGGUUAAUAACCUUUGUUCCUUGAUGUUUCCCGGCAGAAGAAUACACCUGGUUAACUUCGUGCCAGCAGCCGCAGUAAUACGGAGGGUGCAAGCGUUAAUCGGAAUUACUGGGCGUAAAGCGCACGCAGGCGGUCUGUCAAGUAGGAUGUGAAAUCCUCGGCCUCAACCUGGGAACUGCAUCCGAAACUGGCAGGCUUGAGUCUCGUAGAGGGAGGUAGAAUUGCAGGUGUAGCGGUGAAAUGCGUAGAGAUCUGGAGGAAUACCGGUGGCGAAGGCGGCCUCCUGGACGAAGACUGACGCUCAGGUGCGAAAGCGUGGGGAGCACACAGGAUUAGAUACCCUGGUAGUCCACGCCGUAAACGAUGUCUAUUUGGAGGUUGUGCCCUUGAGGCGUGGCUUCCGGAGCUAACGCGUUAAAUAGACCGCCUGGGGAGUACGGCCGCAAGGUUAAAACUCAAAUGAAUUGACGGGGGCCCGCACAAGCGGUGGAGCAUGUGGUUUAAUUCGAUGCAACGCGAAGAACCUUACCUGGUCUUGACAUCCACAGAACUUUCCAGAGAUGGAUUGGUGCCUUCGGGAACUGUGAGACAGGUGCUGCAUGGCUGUCGUCAGCUCGUGUUGUGAAAUGUUGGGUUAAGUCCCGCAACGAGCGCAACCCUUAUCCUUUGUUGCCAGCGGUCCGGCCGGGAACUCAAAGGAGACUGCCAGUGAUAAACUGGAGGAAGGUGGGGAUGACGUCAAGUCAUCAUGGCCCUUACGACCAGGGCUACACACGUGCUACAAUGGCGCAUACAAAGAGAAGCGACCUCGCGAGAGUAAGCGGACCUCAUAAAGUGCGUCGUAGUCCGGAUUGGAGUCUGCAACUCGACUCCAUGAAGUCGGAAUCGCUAGUAAUCGUGGAUCAGAAUGCCACGGUGAAUACGUUCCCGGGCCUUGUACACACCGCCCGUCACACCAUGGGAGUGGGUUGCAAAAGAAGUAGGUAGCUUAACCUUCGGGAGGGCGCUUACCCACUUUGUUCUGGGUA